rnacentral:rRNA from 1 species
GAUGAACGCUGGCGGCGUGCCUAAUACAUGCAAGUCGAGCGAACGGACGAGAAGCUUGCUUCUCUGAUGUUAGCGGCGGACGGGUGAGUAACACGUGGAUAACCUACCUAUAAGACUGGGAUAACUUCGGGAAACCGGAGCUAAUACCGGAUAAUAUUUUGAACCGCAUGGUUCAAAAGUGAAAGACGGUCUUGCUGUCACUUAUAGAUGGAUCCGCGCUGCAUUAGCUAGUUGGUAAGGUAACGGCUUACCAAGGCGACGAUGCAUAGCCGACCUUAGAGGGUGAUCAGCCACACUGGAACUGAGACACGGUCCAGACUCCUACGGGAGGCAGCAGUAGGGAAUCUUCCGCAAUGGGCGAAAGCCUGACGGAGCAACGCCGCGUGAGUGAUGAAGGUCUUCGGAUCGUAAAACUCUGUUAUUAGGGAAGAACAUAUGUGUGAGUAACUGUGCACAUCUUGACGGUACCUAAUCAAAAAGCCACGGCUAACUACGUG